rnacentral:tRNA from 1 species
GGUCCAGUAGCUCAGGGGAUAGAGCGGCCGCCUCCUAAGCGGCAGGUCGGCCGUUCGAUUCGGCCCUGGGUCA